UCAGUUUGGCCAGAGUUCUUGCGUAAUUGGGGGGCCGGGGCUUGAGGAGGCUACUCCGUGUGCUGUUCUUACCGGUUAAGUAAACUGGAAGGAAAUUGGCUGUUGCGCUUAUCAAAUGAUGCAAACGUGACUUAUCUGGCCAUGAACAGCCUACGUGCAGUGUUUACGUUGCAAAUGAGCCUUUGGGUUUGGCUUUAAUUUCAUACACUAGUCUUUUCUAUUUUAACACACAGCCUUAAAAAGUAAUUUGGACAGUGCUGGUAGUUUAUUUCAGUAUAGCCUAUAGUAAACAUGUACUCUGCACCAUGCAAAUUUUAACCAUGAUACUGAGAACGGAAGAGGAACCACAACAUUUCAAAAAUUAAUUCCUUUUAUUUAAUUCCAUGAAGGUCGUAGUUAAACUUUUUUGUAGAAUCAGCCCUGGCCUGUAUUCAGGAGAGGGUCCUAAAAUACUUACCUUAAAAAGAAUUGCUGAGCUUGACCAUACAUGUGAUAGUAAUGUACAACAGACUUAAGUAAAUGUUCUUGUCGGGACGGAAAAGGCCAAAAGAACAAGAGAAAAGAGAAGGAUGAUGGUAGAUUCAUAAUCAACAGCAAGGUAGAUCUAAUGUAGAAAAGUAAACCACCGUCAAAAUAUUUGUUGGUUUUAUUUACACAUUAGGAAGAUUCUUGGUUGGAACAUGUCUGUAAUAGCUUGUAUUAUACAAUGCUUUCAUGGGAGCUGGGCCAUUAAAAUGAUUAAGGGUCUGGAACAUCUGACAUACGAGGAGAGGCUGAGGGAGCUGGGACUGCUCAGCCUGGAGAAGAGAAGGCUCGGGGCGGAUCUUACCCACGUGUGUAAAUACCUGAUGGGGCAAGUAAAGAUGGCAGAGCCAGGUUCUUCUCAGCGGUGUUGAGUGAAAGGACAAGAGGUGAUGGCACAAACACAGGCAAUUCAGUUCAAACGUAAGAAAGAAAAAAAAAUUCCUGUGAAUUCAUUCAAACAGUGGAACAGGUUUCCCAGAGAGACUGAGAAGUCUCCGUCUUUGGAGAUGCUCAAAACCCAACUGGACGCAGCCUUGAGCAACCUGCUGUAGCUGACUCUGAGCAGGAGGGUUGGACUAGACAAUCUACAGAGGUGCUUUCCAACUUGAAUGAUUCUAUGAUUUUUACGCUAGUUUUUUCAACAAAUGUAAAGUGCAUAGAAAAUUAUAAUGAACAGCAGGAUAUCCUGUAAGGUCUUUGGUUCCAAGGACAUUUUAAUCAGUCUGUCAUUCACGUAGGGAAUGGAAGUCCAGAAUACAGGGCUUAUUACCCUUAGAGUCAGUGUAUCCAAAUGUUAGGUCAUUGCAGGGGGAGGCCUCAGAAAAGAUGGGAUGCCAUUGAAGGGCAAAUGGCAAGAUGUUUUGUGAAGACCUGAAUUUUAACUUCUUGACUAGUUGGCCAUUCACCCUGUCUGCGUGUAACCGUUUCACGUUUAUCCCCUUGUUCUUUACUACUCGGGAGCCAGAGAGCAGCAGCUUUUGACUCAUUGGAGAGACAUUUUGUUCUGAUGCAGCCAUCACCUAAACGUUGUCCCCAGCCACCAUGGUUUCCAGUAGGCAACAAACACCCUGGUAUGAUCAGAAACAGGGUAACUCCCAUCAGGGGAGCUGCCAGAAAGGAAGCCAUGUUUACAACUGAUAUUCACAGCCGUUCCUGCUCUCGCAGCUAACGGAGCAGUCCCAAGGGCAGAACGCACUUGAAAACUGCAGAUACGAUAAGUAUGCUUGCACCACCUUGGAACAGCAUAGGUUAACUUAUUUGCACAAAUGUUUUUGUAACCUGCGCUUUUUGGAGUGGAGCAGGCAAAUGAUAAAAAUACAUUGUAAGCAAUAGGAUUUCUGACCUUAAUUAAUGAUUAGGUUGGGUCAGAUUUGAUACACCAGAGACAGAAUAUAGCUUGUAUAUGAAAGUUUAUAGCGCUCGGUUGUUCACAGUCCUCUGAACAGAGCCCUUACCUUCCAACUCUAAUUUUGCCUGUGAUCCCGUGUUUCUUUAUAUUUUUCCCUAGAGCUUGUUUUAGUGUCACUCAGCAGUAGGUACCAUGCUGUAUCUGACUUUGCCCUCACAAAAGCAAACGAGGCUGGUGGCUUUUGCUGAAUGUCCUCUUAAAAUUAUACUCGUACUUAGCAGUCAUGGAGUUAGUUCUGAAGGUGCAUGCUGGUAAUUUCUUACUUGGACGCUUAAUGAUCACAUUGGCUGUUAACGAUGUUCCCAUCAGGUUCUAUCUAGGCAAUCUUAAAAAGAGUUAGCGUGUCCUUCAAGUCAUGAAAAAUUGGUACGGCUGCAAGUCAGUAUGGCCAGUAAUGUUUGCAUACAUCUCACUGCUGAUAAUUUACCUGUGAAUAAAUUGUAAAAGUCAGUAAAGAGCCAUUUUCAGUCACAGUGCCUUCCUGUUUAUCUUCUGUCUUAUUUAGGUCCCUUUCCAGCUAUUGGCAACAUGCUUAGCAAACACCAGUGUGCUGAGUAACACUGCUAGAUUUCUCAAGCUCUGGCUCCUCAAUUAAUAACAACCCUAGGUUAUAAGAUGCUAAAUUGAGGGUCGUCAGCUUUGUGUUGACUGGUUUGAAGGCCUUUAGUAGCAAUUUUUUCAACCUUGAUGAACCCGUCAGCUGGUGAUGAGUGGUCAUCUUGAGUUGAAUCAAGGUCACUUCAAUGCACAGUAAACAUACUGCACCUGCUGAAGUGAUCCAUUCAUGGUUCUCCUAUGCAGCCGCAGUGACGGAGGGAAAUUAGAGGCUGGGUAGGAAAGAAAGUGUGUGGGGGGGUUGUUCUCAUUUCUCCCAGAAUAGUCUUCUGUUAAUAUAUUUUAAUGGAAAUUCUACGAAUAAUUUUUCUGUCUUCCAGCUUCUGUUUGAAACUUGUCUAUAAAGAAGAAUUACUGUCAUCCAAGGAUCUAAAGUCCUCCAUAACCUUUUCUGGUUUAGCUGUUAAUAAUAUUGCGCAUGCACCAAUAUUUACCUGCAAUCAUUUGACUAAAAAGGAAUGACUAAGGAGGAUUGAGAUUGUUCGUAACUGGUAAAAAGGUUUACUUCGUAACUGUAGUAGCUGCUGACUUACUGUAAAGAAGAGUUGGAAAAAACAUCUUUUUGUUUUAGCGGCCUGUGGUCCACCUUUGAAACUAACUACACGAGAAACAGAAGUUUGAUGUAGUUAAAUACAAACACUUGCACAUGUGAUUCUGAGGCAGUGCUUGUAAUACUAUUGUCCACUAAACCAUUUGUGAUGUCCAGGAAAAAUGAAUUACCUCUACUAGUAACAUCUCAGCUAUUCAUCCAAGCAACCCAUGAUAUGUAUCAAAGGCUGCAUGCAUUUGAAACAAAUGAGGAUUUCAAAAGAACCCAAACACCCGAGUAUUUAGUAUUCUUGUUUUCAUACAGCUUGUAUCAUCGCCACUAAAACUGCCCCUGACAAGGAUUGUCGAGGACAAAGAGCUUUUUAGUGGUUUAGCAAAUGCAUAUUUCCAUCAGUAGAUGGAAGAAGGGUGGUGGAGUAUGUGUUUCUGUUUUCCGUGUGACAAAACCAGCAAAAUGUGUUUGUAGUUCAUGAAGGUUAAAUAAAGUGGUUUUCAGUCUACAAGCAACUCUGCAAGGUUUAAAUUGUGAACUUUUGCUGGGAUAGGUUUGCCAGCAAGGUCAGUUCCUUUAUUAGAAUUAAUUUACUCAGGAAGAAAGGAGUGUCACAUAGAGCAUCUCAACUAAAGUGGUGGUUUUGUAGUAUAAGCUACAACUGUACUAGGAGCAUUUUUUCAUGCAUUUGAAAUUGAAAUAUUUGGGGCAGUUACACUGAAAAGGAAACCUUGUAAAAAUACUUUCCAAAGUGAAGGAAGCACGAGGGAUAAGCGGUCAUUCUAUUGAUACUAUUUAAUCUGCAGGUCCAGAUAACCCUGGAGUCUUAAAAGUAAACAUAGCAAAGGAAAGGCUGUCAGACCGAAAGUCUGCUAGACCUCAUAAGCUGUUUCUCGACAGCAAUCAGUAGAAAAAGCCUAGUGAGAAGUACAAGUAAUAGGGAGAAUGUAGAGUGGUACGUGCCUCAAAAUACACUCCUUCCUGCCUUUGUCAGCAGAGGAGGUGGCUGGUCCAUUUGCAGUAAUAAAUCUGAAAAGGUUCGAGCCAUUUCAGAAAGAGUGGUAUCAGGGCCAGUUCCCAUUUGUCUGAGCAGGAUGAGUCAGGUACUAAUAAGCCAGCCCAUCAUGUCAGUCCUCAGCAAAAUAAUGGAAAAGAAAACACAAGAUUUCUUUAAUAAAGAAUAAAAGGAAAAGAAUAUAACUAAUACCAGUAAGUGUGGCUCAAGGAGAAAAAGGUCUUGGCAAACACACCGAGCUUCCUUACUGGAGUAGGUGAGAAGCUUCAGCACAAAAUUAAUGGUGUAGGUGGAGUAGAUUUUGGUAAUGUGCUUCAUACUACACAGCAGCGAGUCUCACUUUAAUACGCUAAAUGGCUUAAAAGCUGAUGGACUGACGGAUCCGAAGAAAUAAGUAACAUUACAAAAAUAACCAAACAGUUGGACUGUUCACAGAGGUGGAGCCUUAGUUACGGCCCAACACUUCCAUCGCGGUCUAGAAGUCAUCAUAGUAUUGCCACUGAUUUUAUUUGUGGCUGUGACAAAGAUGCUGGAGCAAGUAAGUACAGAUGAUGAGGAAAAGACAAUAACACAGAACAAUCACACAGACUGGAUUACUCUGUAAAUGAAACCACUUCAAUUGAAGUUCUGUCUUAAUGUGUCCAAAACGCAGGAUUAUGUAUCUAGGAUUAAUGAAUGCAAAUCAUGUACCUAGAAGAUAUUACUGAUUCCUGGAAAGCGGAGGCUUUAGAAAAGAUUAAAGGGACACAAUCACAAGACACCUCAAAAAGAGUCUACUAUACACGUGGGACAAAAAAGGCUAGUGCUGUUUAGGGAUGCUAACAGCAGAGUAGAUAGUAGAAAUAAGGUGAGUUUAUAUCUGCUGGAUCCGCUUUUUUAAAUAGACCAAAAACCGGAGAGGCCACAAAGAAUCAUAAAAGGAUUUGGAGGCUUAAAAGGUCUUUAGCUGUUUAAUAACAAUAGGAACAA